CAGCUCACGGUUUUGAAGAAAACCGAAGAGUGUGAUCGACAGUACGUGCUGCCCUUGCCGUGGUGUGGACACAGAGUUCAAGCUUAGACGAGGAGCAGACACUGACGUCACACUUCUGAUAGAUAAAGGAAAAAUUCAUCGUCUGAACCCAAGCUCAAAACAAGAUGCCAGAAGAAAAGAUCAAAGAGCUUAAAACAGAAUUCCAGCAAAACUGAACACAGGGAUCCGAAGGGGUAUGUGCACCCUGAUGUUUAUAGCAGCAAUGUCCACAAUAGCCAAACUGUGGAAAGAGCCAAGAUGUCCAUUGACAGAUGAAUGGAUAAAGAAGAUGUGGUAUAUAUAUACAAUGGAAUAUUAUGCAGCCAUCAAAAGGAAUGAGAUCUUGCCAUUUGCAACA